UACGGAGGGUGCGAGCAUUAAUCGGAUUUAUUGGGCGUAAAGGGCGCGUAGGCGGGGAUGUAAGUCAGAUGUGAAAUCCCGGGGCUCAACCCCGGAACAGCAUUUGAUACUGCACCCCUCGAGGGUAGGCGGAGAAAAUGGAAUUCCACAAGUAGCGGUGAAAUGCGUAGAUAUGUGGAAGAACACCGGUGGCGAAGGCGAUUUUCUAGCUUAUACCUGACGCUGAAGCGCGAAAGCAAGGGGAUCAAACAGG
rnacentral:rRNA from 1 species